rnacentral:rRNA from 1 species
CCUACGGGCGGCAGCAGUGAGGAAUAUUGGUCAAUGGACGAGAGUCUGAACCAGCCAAGUAGCGUGAAGGAUGACUGCCCUACGGGUUGUAAACUUCUUUUAUACGGGAAUAAAACGCCGUACGUGUGCCUCUUUGCAUGUACUUUAUGAAUAAGGACCGGCUAACUCCGUGCCAGCAGCCGCGGUAAUACGGAGGAUCCGAGCGUUAUCCGGAUUGAUUGGGUUUAAAGGGAGCGUAGGUGGGUUGUUAAGUCAGUUGUGAAAGUUUCGGGCUCAACCGUAGUAUUGCAAUGGAUACUGGCAGUCUUGAGUACGGGUGAGGUAGGCGGAAUUCGUGGUGUAGCGGUGAAAUGCUUAGAUAUCACGAAGAACCCCGAUUGCGAAGGCAGCUUACUAAACUGUGACUGACAUUGAUGCUCGAAAGCGUGGGUAUCAAACAGGAUUAGAUACCCGAGUAGUC